rnacentral:rRNA from 1 species
GACGAACGCUGGCGGCGUGCCUAAUACAUGCAAGUAGGACGCAGUUGCGAACGGGUGAGUAACGCGUAGGUAACUACCUAUUAGAGGGGGAUAACUAUUGGAAACGAUAGCUAAUACCGCAUACUAGUAGAUGGACCUGCGUUGUAUUAGCUAGUAGGUAGGGUAAUGGCCUACCUAGGCAACGAUACAUAGCCGCGUUGGGGGGGUGGACGGCCACAAUGGGACUGGGGCAAGGCCCAGACUCCUACGGGAAGCAGCAGUAGGGAAUCUUCGGCAAUGGGGGGAACCCUGACCGAGCAACGCCGCGUGAGUGAAGAAGGGUUUCGGAUCGUAAAGCUAUGUUGUUAAGGAAGCGGUACUUAACCAGAAGGGGACGGCUAACUACGUGCCAGCAGCCGCGGUAAUAC